rnacentral:lncRNA from 1 species
UUUAAAUUGUGAAUUUUCUGAUAAGUAGUGUACGAUAAAAUAGCCAGUAUAUAACAAAGACAAUAAAAUCUCCGAAAUUGCUCUGUGAAAUCCUCUUUUUUUGUGAGUUCGCUAAGUGGGAUAAUUUAACAUCCAUUGAAUGUCACUUGUGAAUUUUAUCUCCCACGUAGUAGUUCUAUUAAAUUCAAUGAACGGAAUCGUAGGAAAUAAUUGAUGUGGAGCAUUUUCAAAGUUCGAUGACCUUCGGACAACAUUUUACAGUUCAGCUUAAACCCACGAGCACGAUCUAAAGCUCAAGAGGACAAUUACUUUUGUGAUUAGAAAUCUCGGUGACUUCCGAUAUAAUAACAACAAUUGCUUAUAACGUCCUCUCUCGUCAUCAGACCAAUUGCCACCAGUACCGCCGACUCCCUCCAUCAGCUCCACUCUCCAGAUAUCCGCAGUCGCACGACCACCCGCCAAAACCCUACCCAAGCGACUCGUCCGUAAAUCCCGCCUCACGAAGCGAAAAUCCCUGGCCGGCGAUAAUAACGAUGGAUAGGAGAACGGCAAUUUGUUUUUAACUGAUGGAGGGGGUUUAUUGAUAUAAUUGAUGGUGGUUAUUUUGGGUGUGGUGGGAGUGGUGGAUGGGGUAAUGGGGGCAAAGGAUGGAAAUUGGAGGGGUAUGGGGGGGGGGGGGCAAAUUGGGGAGAAUUGUCGAUUAAUUCAUAUUACGAUCCAGUUUUUGAGUUCGUUUACGCGGUAUUGAGUUGGAUUGCACUGUCAUAUUGCUUGCAUUUUGCGUCCAAGAAAGUGGUGAGGAUCGUUGUUUGUGGCUGAUAGGUUGGGUGAUUCAGCUAGGAAAAUGGUUCUGAUCCAAUUGAUUCAGUCUGCUAAAUGGUAAAAAUUGAUUACUCCAAAGUAUGUUUUCAUCUUGAUAUGUAAAAUGUAUUGCCUUUUAUUUUUCUUAGCUUGACAAAUUAAUGUAAAUAAUGAUGUGGAUCACAUUCAUCCGUGAAUAAUGAUAAAACUACUGUAUAUACGGUAUAUUUGUUGAUGGAUUUGUGAAAGUCUAUUUAUUUCAUGGAGGUUGCUAUAUAUACAUAGCCGGCGCCCCCUCCAAUAGGGGGCCAUCGGGUGUCCAUUUUGGACACCCUUAUGUACACGGUUGUGUACAACAAGAAUAAUCCUUAUUUCAAAUAGCAGACUUGAUAAGUUCUGUGUUUGAGUCUGUGUUUUAUUAUAUAGUUUCAGAUUGUAAAUUAUUUUUUGUUAAUUGAACGGGCAUUUUAAAGUGUGCACACGUCGGUUCAGUGUUCAUCUGGGGACUUAAAUGUUAAAACUUGGGCUUUGAGUACCCUUGUCAAAACUUAAUGGUGACCUACUGAUGCUCAGGUCAUUUAACAUGCG